rnacentral:tRNA from 1 species
GCCGAGAUAGCUCAACUGGUAGAGCAAUGGUAUCGUAAACCAUAGGUUAGGGGUUCAAGUCCCCUUCUCGGCU